AUACUUACCUGCCACAGUGAAUACCACGUUCAAGAUAGGAGCCUCCAAGGUGAGGCUCUUCCAUUGCACAGUUUGGUUGUAUUGACCCCUGUGAUUUUCCUGAAUGUGGGAAACUCAACUGCAUAACCUAUGGUACUGGGGACAGUGUCCUCGUAGUCUCCU